rnacentral:rRNA from 1 species
GACGAACGCUGGCGGCAUGCUUAACACAUGCAAGUCGAACGGAAAGGCCCUGCUUUUGUGGGGUGCGCGGGUGGCGAACGGGUGAGUAACACGUGAGUAACCUGCCCUUGACUUUGGGAUAACGUCAGGAAACUUGAGCUAAUACCGGAUAGGAGCUCCUACUGCAUGGUGGGGGUUGGAAAGUUUCGGCGGUUGUGGAUGGACUCGCGGCUUAUGAGCUUGUUGGUGGGGUAGUGGUUUACCAGGGCGUUGACGGGUAGCCGGCCGGAGAGGAUGACCGGCCACAAUGGGACUGAGGUGAGGCCGAGAAGACUACGGGGGGAAGCAGCGGUGAAUAAUUCACAGUGGGCGGAAGCCUGAUGCAGCAACGCCGCGGGCGGGAUGAAGGCCGUCGGGUGGUAAACCGCUUUCGCCUGUGACGAAGAGGGAGUGACGGUAAUGGGUAAAGAAGCACCGGCUAACUACGUG